rnacentral:rRNA from 1 species
CACGUAGGGCGCAAGCGUUGUCCGGAAUUAUUGGGCGUAAAGAGCUCGUAGGCGGUCUGUUGCGUCUGCUGUGAAAACCCGGGGCUUAACCCCUGGCUUGCAGUGGAUACGGACAGACUAGAGGUAGGUAGGGGAGAAUGGAAUUCCCGGUGUAGCGGUGAAAUGCGUAGAGAUGUGGAGGAACACCAGUGGCGAAGGCGGCGACCUGGUCCAUUACUGACGCUGAGGCGCGACAGCGUGGGGAGCAAACAGG